ACGAACGCUGGCGGCAGGCUUAACACAUGCAAGUCGAACGAACGUAGCAAUACGUUAGUGGCGCACGGGUGAGUAACGCGUGGAUAUCUGCCUUUUGGUUCGGGAUAACCUUGGGAAACUAGGGCUAAUACCGAAUGGUUCCUACGGGAUAAAGAUUUAUCGCCAAAAGAUGAGUCCGCGUCCGAUUAGCUAGUUGGUGAGGUAAUGGCUCACCAAGGCGACGAUCGGUAGCUGGUCUGAGAGGACGAUCAGCCACACUGGGACUGAGACACGGCCCAGACUCCUACGGGAGGCAGCAGUGGGGAAUAUUGGACAAUGGGAGCAACCCUGAUCCAGCCAUGCCGCGUGAGUGAUGAAGGCCUUCGGGUUGUAAAGCUCUUUUGGCGAAAACGAUGAUGACGGUACCCGCAGAAUAAGCCCCGGCUAACUUCGU
rnacentral:rRNA from 1 species